UACGUAGGUGGCGAGCGUUGUCCGGAUUUACUGGGUGUAAAGGGCGUGUAGGCGGGCUUUUAAGUCAGAUGUGAAAUGCCGCAGCUUAACUGCGGAACUGCAUUUGAAACUGAAAGUCUUGAGUGUCGGAGAGGAAAGCGGAAUUCCUAGUGUAGCGGUGAAAUGCGUAGAUAUUAGGAAGAACACCGGUGGCGAAGGCGGCUUUCUGGACGAUAACUGACGCUGAGGCGCGAAAGCGUCGGGAGCAAACAGG
rnacentral:rRNA from 1 species